GGGUGAGUAACACGUGGAUAACCUACCUAUAAGACUGGGAUAACUUCGGGAAACCGGAGCUAAUACCGGAUAAUAUAUUGAACCGCAUGGUUCAAUAGUGAAAGACGGUUUUGCUGUCACUUAUAGAUGGAUCCGCGCCGCAUUAGCUAGUUGGUAAGGUAACGGCUCACCAAGGCGACGAUGCGUAGCCGACCUGAGAGGGUGAUCGGCCACACUGGAACUGAGACACGGUCCAG
rnacentral:rRNA from 1 species